GGGAGCUUCCCSGGAACGAAAGUCUUCCGGKUYCSGGGGAAGUAUGGUUGCAAAGCUGAAACUUAAAGGAAWUGACGGAAGGGCACCACCAGGAGUGGAGCCUGCGGCUUAAUUUGACUCAACACGGGGAAACUCACCCGGCCCGGACACCGUGAGGAUUGACAGAUUGAAAGCUCUUUCUUGAUUCGGUGGUUGGUGGUGCAUGGCCGUUCUUAGUUCGUGGAGCGAUUUGUCUGGUUUAUUCCGAUAACGAGCGAGACUCUAGCUUACUAAAUAGUCUGGUCUUUAUUACUGAGGCCUGACUUCUUAGAGGGAUUUUCGGUGUUCAGCCGCACGAGAUUGAGCAAUAACAGGUCUGUGAUGCCCUUAGAUGUCCGGGGCUGCACGCGCGCUACACUGGCGAAAUCAGCGUGCUUUUCCUAUCUCGAAAGAGAUUGGUAAACCGAUGAAAAUUUGCCGUGAUUGGGAUCGGAAAUUGCAAUUAUUUUCCGUGAACGAGGAAUUCCAAGUAAGUGCGAGUCAUCAACUCGCGUUGAUUACGUCCCUGCCCUUUGUACACACCGCCCGUCGCUGCCCGGGACUGAGCCAUUUCGAGAAAAUCGGGGAUUGCUGAUUUCUGUUCUUUCGGGAACAGACUUUGGCGAAAA
rnacentral:rRNA from 1 species